rnacentral:rRNA from 1 species
UACGUAGGGGGCUAGCGUUGUCCGGAAUCAUUGGGCGUAAAGCGCGCGUAGGCGGCCCGGUAAGUCCGCUGUGAAAGUCAAAGGCUCAACCUUUGAAUGUCAGCGGAUACUGCCGGGCUAGAGUCCGGAAGAGGCGAGUGGAACUCCUGGUGUAGCGGUGGAAUGCGCAGAUAUCAGGAAGAACACCAAUAGCGAAGGCAGCUCGCUGGGACGUUACUGACACUGAGGCGCGAAAGCGUGGGGAGCGAACAGG